GUGCUUGUUUGGUACACAUAUACUAAAAUUGGAAUGAUACAGAAAUUAGCAUGGUCCCCUGUGCAAGAAUGACAUGCAAAUUCAUGAAGCGUUCCAUAUUUUU